ACCAUAACCGUCAGGCACCGUCAAUCGGUAUAAUAUGUUUCCGCAUAGAUAUAAUUUGUAUAAAAUAAAUAUCGAACAAAUAAACAAUAAAGAACUAUUUUUUACACACGCUGUAACAGUUUUAAAACAUAUUACGUCACGAUAGGUCUAUUCAGAGUCGCAUCCGGUCAACUGCGUAUUGUGGGCAACACGACCGUCGAUCAUCCUUUUGAUAAACAGACCACUGCGCGCUCGCGUUAUAAAUUUUACGUGAGCACAAAUAUUAUU